GUAAAGAUUUGUUUGUCAUUUCUUUUCAGCUCAUUGGACAGCUAAGGAAAGGGAGUCAACAGGACUAAACGAUUUGUCUAGGGUCAUACAACUAAGCAUCUGAACUGCAUUUGAACUCAGGUCUUUCUGACUUCAAGCCUAGCACUCUACCCACCCCGACACCUAGGAUCCCAGAUUUAAUGCAGAUUUACUGGUCAUAAACCAAUUCCCUCGUUUUAAAGGUGAGGAAACAGGCUUCAAGAGAUGAAGUCUCACCCAAGCUCAAGCAGGUAGAAAGUAGGCUAUUCAUCAAUCAGAUUUUCUUUUGCUUUUCUUUUCCUUCUCUUGAUGGCGGCUCUUUUUUCUCUCUCCUGUCAUCAUGCCUGUUUUGAGUCAUUGCCCUCUCUGCCUCUUAAUCUUUUAACCAUUCAAAUCUAGGAAAAAUCCGAAGGUUGCCAGGACAAGGCCAAUAACUCUGACUCUUAAAUCAGGCUAAUUUCACACAAAGGACCCAGUCAGUAAGCCCUGACCUAUUGCACUGGGCUUUGUCACAGCUGUUUUCCUCACUGCUGAGACAUUUUUUUCCUUAUUUGUAAAUGUAUAUGAUUAAAGUAAUUGGCUGUCUGCCUUAUGAAUACAAAGAGGACUGUGAGAUUUUAUUGGGUAUUUUUGAUGUUGAUCUAAUGUAAACUGUUGGACUUGAGAGCCCCCCAUUACCACCCCCCAAAACUUUAUCCAAUAAUAAUGUUAUAAUUCUUUUGCUGGGGUGUGUAUACUUCCUCCACUGAAGCAUUCCGCAAUACUAACCACACUUUAGUUAUCAAUUGUUCAACAAGAAUUUAUUAGAAGCUACUAUCUGCCAGCAGUCAAUCUUUGUACAAUUCUAUGAUUAAUAAAAAAUAAAAAUAAAACCUGGUAGCUAACUAAACUGGUCAUUUCUCAAACUAAGAUUUAAUUUGUUAUCUCUCCUCUCCUUUCCGUUUAUCUAGACUUUUGCUUUCACUGAUAUAGAGGGAACUUCCAUUGAAGAAGGUCUCUCCACCAGAAGAAAUUGGUAUUUUUCUCUAGGAUUUAGACUUAGAAAGCUGCCAGAAGCUCAGAAACUUAUUCUUGAUCUCAUGGCCAUUAUAUGUCCAUUGAGAUCAUCUCUCUACCCACUACUCAUAGGAGUCCUUGAAUGGCAAACCCCCCAAACCACCAUCUGCUCUGAACAGA
rnacentral:lncRNA from 1 species